rnacentral:rRNA from 1 species
UGGGGAAUAUUGGACAAUGGGCGCAAGCCUGAUCCAGCCAUGCCGCGUGAGUGAUGAAGGCCUUAGGGUUGUAAAGCUCUUUCGGCGGGGAAGAUAAUGACGGUACCCGCAGAAGAAGCCCCGGCUAACUUCGUGCCAGCAGCCGCGGUAAUACGAAGGGGGUUAGCGUUGCUCGGAAUCACUGGGCGUAAAGCGCACGUAGGCGGGUUGUUAAGUCAGGGGUGAAAUCCUGGAGCUCAACUCCAGAACU